rnacentral:lncRNA from 1 species
GCACUCUUUCACUUUGGAAUUUUCAAAAUGACUGCCGCCCGCCUGGCAAUGGGGGACGAGGGUGCCAUCCGUUAUUGCUAGCAAUUACAAAUCUAGUAAUGGCACCUUCAACGGAUUUGGGGUGACGUAUUGUUAUUCUACGUUUUUUUUAUGUCACCCUGACGGAGGUCGGGUGACAUAUUGUUAUUGUACGAUUCUUUUUUUUUUUGUCACCCUGACGGAGGUCGGGUGACAUAUUAUUAUUGUUCCAUUCUUUUUUUUUUAUUUAUACUAAUUAUGUCACCCGAUCGACAAUGUCGGGUGACAUAUUGCUUUUCUUAUGUUUCUUUGUUAUGGCACCCUCAACGGAGUUGGGGUGACGUAUUGUUAUUCUACGUUUCUUUUUUUUUCUUAUUAUGUCACCAAUCGAUGUCGGGUGACAUAUUGCUAUUGUUCCAUUCUUUUUAUGUCAACCUGACGGAGGUCGGGUGACAUAUUGUUAUUGUUCCAUUCUUUUUUUUUAUU